rnacentral:misc_RNA from 1 species
GAUGAAGAACGUAGCGAAAUGCGAUAAGUAGUGUGAAUUGCAGAAUUCAGUGAAUCAUCGGAUCUUUGAACGCACAUUGCGCCCGCCAGUAUUCUGGCGGGCAUGCCUGUUCGAGCGUCAUUACAACCCUCAGGCCCCCGGGCCUGGCGUUGGGGAUCGGCGGAAGCCCCCUGCGGGCACAACGCCGUCCCCCAAAUACAGUGGCGGUCCCGCCGCAGCUUCCAUUGCGUAGUAGCUAACACCUCGCAACUGGAGAGCGGCGCGGCCACGCCGUAAAACACCCAACUUCUGAAUGUUGACCUCGAAUCAGGUAGGAAUACCCGCUGAACUUAAGCAUAUCAAUAAGCGGAGGA